rnacentral:rRNA from 1 species
UACGUAGGCAGCGAGCGUUGUUCGGAGUUACUGGGCGUAAAGGGUGUGUAGGCGGUUCUUUAAGUUUGGUGUGAAAUCUCCCGGCUCAACCGGGAGGGUGCGCCGAAUACUGAGGGACUAGAGUACGGGAGAGGAAAGUGGAAUUCCUGGUGUAGCGGUGAAAUGCGUAGAUAUCAGGAGGAACACCGGUGGCGAAGGCGGCAUCCUGGACCGGCAUUGACGCUGAGGCGCGAAAGCCAGGGGAGCAAACGGG